AUUUAUUAUAAAAUUUAAAUAUAAAUAAUAUGUAUUAAUAUAGUACAAUUAAUAAUUUUAUAAUAAAAAUAUUAUAAUUUUAUAUUAACAUAUUAUAUUUAUAUAAUUUAAUUUUAAUUCAAUUUAUAAUUUUAAUUAAACUUUAAAUUAAGUAUUGGAAUAGCACUAUUCCACCAAAAUGAUGGAAUAGCAAAUUCCUUACUAUUCCGGAAUAACCGGAGGUAGCAAGGUUUGACCGGGAUAAAAAUAUCCCAAUAAAACAUCACUCCGUUUGGUGGAAUAGUGGAAAUAACUUUCGUUAUCCCCGCUUAUCCUCCGAACCAAACGGGACCUAAGAGUAGACUUCAAACACAACAAUUUAUUCGACUCAUUCCUAACUUAAAACAGAAAUGUUCUCAAACCACAGCAAGUCAUUACAUCCAAAGCAGGAUAGAGGAUGUGACUAUUCUCAGCAACAGAAUAACUAGCAAACAAGUCCGUC
rnacentral:lncRNA from 1 species